GGUGAGGCCAGCCGAUAGAUGGCGGCGGCAGCUGCUUCGAAACCAGCCUGCGGGGGAACCCGCGUGGGAGUUCGACCCUCUCCCUCACCG
rnacentral:tRNA from 1 species